rnacentral:rRNA from 1 species
CCUACGGGAGGCUGCAGUGGGGAAUAUUGCACAAUGGGCGCAAGCCUGAUGCAGCCAUGCCGCGUGUGUGAAGAAGGCCUUCGGGUUGUAAAGCACUUUCAGCGGGGAGGAAGGCGUUAAGGUUAAUAACCUUGGCGAUUGACGUUACCCGCAGAAGAAGCACCGGCUAACUCCGUGCCAGCAGCCGCGGUAAUACGGAGGGUGCAAGCGUUAAUCGGAAUUACUGGGCGUAAAGCGCACGCAGGCGGUCUGUCAAGUCGGAUGUGAAAUCCCCGGGCUCAACCUGGGAACUGCAUUCGAAACUGGCAGGCGAGAGUCUUGGAGAGGGGGGUAGAAUUCCAGGUGUAGCGGGGAAAUGCGUAGAGAUCUGGAGGAAUACCGGUGGCGAAGGCGGCCCCCUGGACAAAGACUGACGCUCAGGUGCGAAAGCGUGGGGAGCAAACAGGAUUAGAUACCCGAGUAGUC